rnacentral:ncRNA from 2 species
AACAGUUCUCGGGGCGGGGUGAAAGUCCCCACCGGCGGUAUCAGGGAAACCUGGAGCCCGCGAGCGCCUUGGCAGGUUCAGCGAAUGCCGAGGGUCAGCAGAUCCGGUGAGAUGCCGGGGCCGACGGUUAUAGUCCGGAUGAUAGAGAACUUGG